rnacentral:tRNA from 1 species
GCCGAUGUAGCUCAGUUGGUAGAGCAGCUGAUUUGUAAUCAGCGGGUCGGGGGUUCGAUUCCUCUCAUCGGCUUCA